rnacentral:sRNA from 1 species
ACAGUGGUGUUUUGAACCAGCCUUUGCCCUGUCCUGUGUCCCUCUAGGCCUUCGAUGUGGUGGAGAGGAGCUUCCUGGAGUCCAUUGACGAUGCCUUGGCUGAGAAGGCAAGCCUCCAGUCGCAAUUGCCAGAGGGAGUCCCUCAGCACCAGCUGCCUCCUCAGUAUCAGAAGAUCUUUGAGAGACUCAAGACAUUGGAGAGGGAAAUUUCGGGAGGGGCCAUGGCUGUUGUGGCGGUCC